rnacentral:rRNA from 1 species
AUGGCCAACCUGACGAUCAACAACAACAACAACAACAGGCCAGUCAAUGAGUUUGUGAAGCGUGCUAGAGCUGCAAAGAUCCAUGUUUACAUAAUUGGCCAACUGAAGAAGGUGAUGCCUGCAAUGAUGGGGAAAGCCAAGGCUCAACAACGACUCAUUGACAACUUACAAGAUGAGUUUGCAAAGGUCCAGAGGGAGUACCACCUUCCGGCGGGCGACUUCCCCGAUGUGGAGCACUUCAAGCAGGUGCUGACCGGAUACAACAUCGACAAGUUUGACAAGAUCAAGCCCAAGAUGGUGCAGGACGUGGACGACAUGCUUGCGCACGACAUCCCGAACCUCCUCAAGAACUUCAGCAACCCUUACCAGUGA